GGCGGGGCCACCCGGGGCCCGCGCUGCCGGUGCUGUGCUGCCUCUUUUCUUGCUCCAAGACAUUGGCUCCAGGAUUGAAGCGCCAGGACCUCGUGCCGCGGGGGCUGCAGCCCUGGCGCCCGCGCUCAGUCGCUGCCGCUAGCCCCCUCCCCGCCAACAACGUGUCCGGCCCCUGUUUUGGAUCUGGCCAAACUGUCCCUUUCCGCCGCGGCGGGCGGCGAGCUCCGCGCUUGACCCGCGGGCCCGGCGGCGAGGAGCGCCCUCGUCCUGCUUGUAGACUUGCUCCCUCCGGGUUUCAUGUUGUGGGCCCUAGCUCUUGUACUGAGAGAGAGUAAAAAAUAAAUCCCUGUUUACUUUCUCUUCA